UACAGGGGGUGCAAACGUUGCUCGGAAUCAUUGGGCGUAAAGCGCACGUAGGCGGUCUGUUAUGUCGGAUGUGAAAGCCCUUGGCUCAACUGAGGAAGUGCAUCCGAAACUGGCAGGCUAGAGUACUAAAGAGGGUCGCGGAAUUCCCGGUGUAGAGGUGAAAUUCGUAGAUAUUGGGAAGAACACCGGUGGCGAAGGCGGCGAGCUGGUCCAUUACUGACGCUGAGGCGCGACAGCGUGGGGAGCAAACAGG
rnacentral:rRNA from 1 species